AGGUGCCAAGGCUGGAUGAACCGUAUUUCUGCUCUCUCGCGAGCACGAGUAAGGCCCCUCCCCACCUUCCCGCUCCCCCCUCCCCUCGCCUGCUGUACGCUCAGGCUCCUCCCGGUGGUUCGCGGCAGGUGGCGCUGUCGGCGGCGUCGCUGCGGCCCCAGCUGCCGAGGCGACGAUCUCCCAGCGGGCAGCGCGGCCCGGCUCUCCCGAGGCAGCGAGUGCCACGUCCCAAGUGCUACGCGGAGGAGCGGAGCGGGUGGUGCGCGGGAGGCGGGAGCUGCGCGAAGCCCGGCCCGGCCACACUGAUCGCCCGCCGCCAUGGGCUCCUCGCAGAGCGUCGAGAUCCCAGGCGGGGGCACGGAGGGCUACCACGUCCUGCGGGUA